CGGACGGGUGAGUAACGCGUGAGUAACCUGCCUUUCAGAGGGGGGACAACAGUUGGAAACGACUGCUAAUACCGCAUAACAUAUUUGGAUCGCAUGGUCUGAAUAUCAAAGAUUUAUCGCUGAAAGAUGGACUCGCGUCUGAUUAGGUAGUUGGCGGGGUAACGGCCCACCAAGCCGACGAUCAGUAGCCGGACUGAGAGGUUGAACGGCCACAUUGGGACUGAGAUACGGCCCAGACUCCUACGGAAGGCAGCAG
rnacentral:rRNA from 1 species